GAAGCCCUCCCCCCCCCCACUAGUUUAAUGUUUAUGAAUGGAUUUAACAUGAAAGAAGAUCAUUAAUCUUGGCAAACUAUAUAUAAUUUUAAAGGUCUAAGCCUCGGGCAUCGAUGUCAGUGCACUGUUUUUCGAUGGAAAGCUUAUAACAAAUGUAUUUCUUGCAUUUAGGUAAGCAGUACACAUAAGAACGCACGUAAACAAAAACGGAGUACUCACCAUUAUUUUGUAAUAACGAGCCAGACACGCAUCCACUGUUAAAAAUUCCAGAUUGAAUGGAAAGCUGAGGGUCCACUGAAUAACAUCCCAUAGAGCAUUUUUUGUCCAAAGAAAAAAUAAUGUUGUAAUAUCCAUGGUAAUUCCUUUGUUUACAUCGCGUUUCUUCAGGGUGAAUAUCAUGCGGUUUUGUUAUGCAAUAAAAUAGUCCAUAGAAAACAGACUCCCGGUAGCAGACCCUUAUAUGGGUGUGUUGCUUAGAGUGUAAUGAACAAAUUACGACCGCGCACACACACACAAAUACAAAGAUAAGCGAUAUCUAGUUCAAAAUAUGCAAACACUGCAGUCCGUUUUUUUGACGUCAUGAUAUGCACAUCAUAUCAUUCUGUCUUUAUAACGAAAGCCAAUAAAAGAAACGACAUGAUAUGACUGGUAAAACAUGUAGCCAACCAGUGCACGAUUCCAACGUUGCCCGGGAAGUUUGAAUUUCUCACACGAACAUAUGUUUUUAUUUGCUCUCCGUCCGGUAGAGGAGCUAAACUUCAGGCUCUGCAGAGCCACACCCACCGCGGUCAUGUUUUGACAGGCCUGCUAUAGCUAAGAGCUAAGAUAACAAGCUAAGAGGUAGCUAGUCAACAAACAUCUGUUCGUGCAGACAUGCAGACUGUCAUAAAAUAAUUUGUCAAAAGAAGUAUUUUUCUGCUGAAGUAGUUAUUCGAGAUCACUCGAAGAUGGAUUAUGUCGACAUUGAUGAGAAGAUGAGUGAUGAGAAGAUCGUGACGACGGUGAUAAUUAUGCUUGAGGGCGGAAAAGAUUAUCCAAUUUUCGCCAUCAAGUUGAAUCUUCAGAUGAAGAAUGGCAUCCAAGCACCAGCCAGAGAUGCAAGCUCUCAGUUUCUUCACUAUUCUUCACUUUUUCCAUACUUUUCAGAACAUUGCAAUUCACAAGAGGAUGGUGGCAUAAAAAGCUAGGAAUGGACUAAAGCAAUAUAUGAAGGCCAAGCCAACAAAGUACAGUAUUUAUAUCACUUGUAUUUUCUAUUGCAAAGAACCUCAGUUAUUUAUUUUUUAUAUUUCAUAAUAUUUUACUUAUGUAUUUUACAUAUAUAUUUUUUUUGUUCUGUUGUGCAAAUAAAUCACUUGCAUAAAGUCUAAUGGUUGUGUGUAUUAUUUUAUAAUUGCAUUAUUUUAUGAAUUGACUGAAAUAGCUUGCAGUGCCCUGCAUAACAUUUGGUCAUUAGGUUGCUUUUUGAUGUAUCCAAGGAGGUUUCUUGGUACCUGGACAUAGUCUUGGAAAAAAUACUGUAGGAAUCUCAUUUUUCAUAAUAUCUUCCUCAAAUUUGAAAUAUAAACUGAUGAGACUUAUGUCUUUCAAUCAAUUACCUAACUGGAUUCCUACAGGUUUGUUUUCAUUUAUUUUUACAUGAAAUUGUAAAAUAUUACAUGCAGUAUAAAUUAUCUUCAAGACACUUUAAAUUCUAUAACUUUUUGUCUGUGUAAGUUUUUUCAACUUUAACAGUUGGGUAAUACACUCUAAAGUGUCUUCUUUUUAAACAUGUCUAAAUUGUGCAUGUAGUGCAAAUAGUUGAGCAACUGCAAAUAUUUUAGUUUGGGCAUGUUAUUUCUGGGGAUGUGCCUCAGGCAGGGGGAGGGAGAAAGGGAACUGA